GCUUGACCUCAUGAACUGUUAGAUCGUGACCUGAGACAAAAUCAACAGUCAGAUGCUUAACUGACUGAGCCACCCAGGCACCCCCAGAAUUAAGUUCUUAAUGGAUGUUUGAAAGUUUGUGACCUUUUAAAACAUAUGAACUGUGUAAAAGAUAACACUACUUGUCCAGAACUUGGAGGAUAUCAUUUCUUCUUCCUUUUAUUAUUAUCUCUACAAGGUUCUAAAGGUAAAAUGAAAUUUUUAUAAAAUAUAUGGGUUUUUACAAACAGAAGAUUAUACUGAAUCAAAGGAAAAACUAAAAAUUUUGUUUCCUGGUGUUUUUACAGUUUAGUGUAAUUAUAAUCAACAAUAAUUGAUGAUUUAUUGUAUUUUAGGACAGUAUAAAUUUCAUGUAGAAUAAUGAAAUUUUGUAAUAAAAUGUUGUAACUUUUUAAUGGCAUUAUUUUUAUUUUUUGUGGUUUCAAGCAAUUGUCUACAUUUUCAGUGUUUAGAAAUAUUGAACCCAAUUAUAUAAUAGAAGUUUGUUUUUUUCUAGUCACAAGACUAGGCAUAGUCGUAGGCAUGAAAGAAAGUAUUCAUAUCCAGCUAAUGAUCCAGGCCAAUUCUGACAUUGAUAUUGUGUAUGAAAGGCACAAAUGUUGAUCUCUGCCCAGUGACUGAAAAUGCCAAUCAGAUUUCUGUGUUGUUGCCUUAAAAUACAAAAGUGUGUUGUCUUUAUCAAGUCUAGUAUGGACUCAGUAAAGCAAAGAGCAGCUUGGUUUAUGUAAAGCUGCUUUGCUUAUACAACUAAAUAAAUCUUCAAAAAUUUUAAAAAUGCUUUGUAAAGUGAAACAAAAAAAUCCUGUAAAAGCGUAAACUCAUCAUUUAGAGAAUGAAGAAUGGUACACAGAACAUAAGUAACAAGCAUGUAAGUUGGAGUUUGAUGAUGCAAUCCACCCAAAACCACACUUGAUAAAGCCAUUGUGCAUGUCUUUGUCUUUUCAUACUUCAGGAAGAAAAAUGACUUGGAUCAUUUUGUCUUAAAUUUUGAUUUUUACAUAUAUAGUCGUAGGUUUCUUAAUGUGUUUUUACAUUUUAAUGUCUUCUGAAACCACUGACUCACCAUUGCUUAGUAAAGAAAGUGUGAGCCUUUUUACUGUCAGUCAAAACCCUUCAUAACCAGUCUUAUGUCCCACUGCCUUCUAUCCACACUGAACCCAUGUGGUUGCAUAUUUUUGCAUAUAUACAUGCACACAUGCUUCUCCUAGUCUUUUCCUUUUUUUUUUUUUUUUGGCACUUCAUUCUGCUUGGAAUGCACCUACUUUUUUUCUUUUUAUAUGUGCAAAUAUUCCUUUAAUCAAGGAAACCCAGUUCCAUGAAGAUUUUCUUGAACCUCAAAUCAUCAACACAUACACAUAUAUUUCCCCUAUAGAAAAAUCUUGACUUUUGUUUUUUUUUCUCUUACUAGAGAUAAGACCUUUAUUUUUGUCAUCUUUGUUUCCAUCAUGUAUUGUGGACAACACUGAUGUUACCAUUAUUUACAUUCAUUAUCAUUAUCCUUGCUAUUCAUAUUUUAUCAUAAAAUGGUGAGAAAUGCAGAGGUUAUUGAGUAAAUAUAUAACUAGAAAAUAGGAAACUCAGCAAAUUUUAGAAGGAUAGCAAGGAUAGCGUUUCUAGAUGCUAAGUGUGGAGCAUUAUUUACCUCCCUUCAGAGGUGAUAGAAGAAGAGGAAACGUGAUUUUUCCCUCAAAAUUGACAGAUGAAAGGUUAUAGUUAUAUGUAAUGCUUGUGGUGUCUGUUUUGCCUUAAUCCAGCAAAGUAUCAUUUUCUCUGUACUUUGCUUUUUUUCUUCCUUUAUCUCCUGUCUUUGCACUUACCUUUGGGGUCAUGAUGGACAGGCACACAAUUUUGGAUUUGAAAAGUAUAUAUAGCAGAAAUCAAGUCUGUUCAUUUUUAUCCUGGUCCAUCUUAUCUGUCCUUUAUAAUCUCCUUCCCCAAAGACAGGAGUUGCACUGCUAAUCUAGUAUUAACGACCGUGAAACAUAGUGAUUGUGAAAAACAUAUGGCAUAUAUCUAACUACCAAAAUUUGACUAAAGGGCCGAAUAGAAAAUCAUUUGUUUAAGAUUUUUUUCUCUCUGAAAUGCUUACAGAGGUCAAUGCUAAUAUUUUUUUAACCACUUUAAUGUAUUCUUCAUUUUUAAUACUAAGUCUUUUGAAAGAUACAGGGAGAGCUACUUAGGUGAAACAAGGUGGAAUUAUCAACACAUGAAACCAGAUGUAUGCAUUAUGGCCCGGGAUCAUGCCUAUAGCUAACUUUACAUCUGGUUUAAAGUAUAAAAUUACAGUCAAGGGCAAAAUAGUCACAAAUACCUUAAAACCAUAUUUCCUUGUCUCCUUCUUCUUAGUUGGCACGGUCUUGGUCACUAUAAAUGAAAAGUAAAUCUCUACUAGGGAAGUAAUGAAUCUAGGUAAUGAUCAUCAUUCACUACUGGUGGAACUUAUAAUGGAUGGGUCAAGUUGACAGUACCUGAGUCCUCCAGACAAUUUUCCACCUCGGUCUUGUCUUUUCAUAGUUUUCAAAGAUGUGGGAGGAGCAGUGCAAUGAAUACCUCUAUACCUACCCCUUCACUUAAAUUUACUAGGUGUUUAUGUUUUGCCCCAGGCCUUUACCUUUGUAUAUAUGUAUAGUCUCUUUCUUCUCAAAUAUGUGAAAACAAAUUAUACACACCAUAAAAUGCCCAUCAGUUUGAGCUCUUUGAAAUAUUCUAUAUGGGCACAGGAUAGUUAGCCCACUUCAGGAAUUCGUUGUUGUUGAAAUACUGUUACUUAAAUAUAUCAUCCAUCUUCAUUUUCCCCACUUGCUUCAGUAAUGUCCCUUAUAGGUAUUUUUCAUAGAUCCAAAAUCCAAUCUAGGUUACAUAUGGCAUUGAGUUAUCAUGUUCUUUUAAAAUCCUUUAAUCUAGGAGUUUCCAGCCUGCCUGUUUUAAUCUUCCAGGGUGUUGUUAUUUUAAAAAGUCCAGGCAUGUUACUUUGUUUUUUGCCCCUCAGUUUGGAUGUAUCUGGUUGUCUUCUCAUGAUCUAAGUGAUCAAUCCAUUUUUUUUUAAACUUCAUUAGGGAAAUUUUUGAACAUGUACAAAGAUAGAGAAAGCAGUGUAAUGUACUUUAUGAGAUUUUAUUAAUCACCAGUGCUUGGCUGACUUUGUUUUAUUUAUAACUUCCUACUUCCCACAUUAUUUAAAGACACAUCCUAGACUUAUGUCCUUUCAGGUAGAAAUAUCUCCACAUUAGGUUCCGAAAGUUGAGGUCUCUUUUUAAAAAAGAGAAAACAUAACUACAAUACCAAUCUGAUAGAAAGGGAGGGAGCAAGGAAAGAAAAGA